AGUGAACGCUGGCGGUAGGCCUAACACAUGCAAGUCGAACGGCAGCACAGUAAGAGCUUGCUCUUACGGGUGGCGAGUGGCGGACGGGUGAGGAAUACAUCGGAAUCUACUUUUUCGUGGGGGAUAACGUAGGGAAACUUACGCUAAUACCGCAUACGACCUACGGGUGAAAGCAGGGGAUCUUCGGACCUUGCGCGAUUGAAUGAGCCGAUGUCGGAUUAGCUAGUUGGCGGGGUAAAGGCCCACCAAUGCGACGAUCCGUAGCUGGUCUGAGAGGAUGACCAGCCACACUGGAACUGAGACACGGUCCAGACUCCUACGGGAGGCAGCAGUGGGGAAUAUUGGACAAUGGGCGCAAGCCUGAUCCAGCCAUACCGCGUGGGUGAAGAAGGCCUUCGGGUUUUAAAGCCCUUUUGUUGGGAAAGAAAAGCAGCAGGUUAAUACCCCGCUGUUCUGACGGUACCCAAAGAAUAGGCACCGGCUAACUUCGUG
rnacentral:rRNA from 1 species